rnacentral:rRNA from 1 species
GACGAACGCUGGCGGCGUGCCUAAUACAUGCAAGUCGAACGAGAGCGACCGGUGCUUGCACUGGUCAAUCUAGUGGCGAACGGGUGAGUAACACGUGGGUAACCUGCCCAUCAGAGGGGGAUAACAUCCGGAAACGGAUGCUAAAACCGCAUAGGUCUUCGAACCGCAUGGUUUGAAGAGGAAAAGAGGCGCAAGCUUCUGCUGAUGGAUGGACCCGCGGUGCAUUAGCUAGUUGGUGAGGUAACGGCUCACCAAGGCCGUGAUGCAUAGCCGACCUGAGAGGGUGAUCGGCCACAUUGGGACUGAGACACGGCCCAAACUCCUACGGGAGGCAGCAGUAGGGAAUCCUCCGCAAUGGACGCAAGUCUGACGGAGCAACGCCGCGUGAGUGAAGAAGGUUUUCGGAUCGUAAAACUCUGUUGUUAGAGAAGAACAAGUGCUAGAGUAACUGUUAGCGCCUUGACGGUAUCUAACCAGAAAGCCACGGCUAACUACGUG